GACGAACGCUGGCGGCGUGCUUAACACAUGCAAGUCGAACGGAAAGGCCUCUUUCUGGGGGUACUCGAGUGGCGAACUGGUGAGUAACACGUGAGUAACCUGCCCUUGACUUUUGGAUAACUUCAGGAAACUGGGGCUAAUACCUGAUAGGAGCUCCUGCUGCAUGUUUGGGGUUUUAAAGUUUCUGGGGUUGGGGAUGGCCUCGCGGCUUAUCUGCUUGUUGGUGGGGUAGUGGCUUACCAAGGCUUUGACGGGUAGCCGGCCUGAGAAGGUGACCGGCAACAAUGGGAAUGAGAAACGGCACAGAAGGAUAAGGGAGGCAGAAGGGGGGAAUAAUGAAAAAUGGGUGGAAGCCGGAUGCAGAAAAGCCGAGUGCGGGAUGACGGCCUUCGGGUUGUAAACCGCUUUCGCUCAUGACGAAGCUUUGUGUGACGGUAGUGGGUAAAGAAGCACCGGCUAACUACGUG
rnacentral:rRNA from 1 species